AAUUCGAGCAUUUUUAUUGAAUAAAAACUUUUAGAUAAACGGUUUUGUUUAGCAUUUUUAAUCGUGCUGACUUCGCUAACCUAUGCUGGGAUAUUGUACGGAUAUAUUUUAAAACCUCUGCUAGGAAAACAUGUUUACAGAAUUGUUAGUCCUUGGUUGAGAAAAAUAUCAAAACUGCUAGAGAAUAGACUGGUCAGCAUCUCAGCAUAUCUUGUUGUGAUUGGCGGCAUUUUAGCUUAUUUGGUAAAAUGAUAUUCUUUUUCAAUAAAUUUAAGAGUUACGAACU